AUUCAUAUUUUCAUAAAUUAAAUCAGUUAUGGUUGAUUCAUUCUUAAUAAAUGAUUGUAAAUAAUAUUAAAGCAGGCAGUCAAAGUAUAUUUUUGCUAACAAUAUGUCACAGUAUAAUACGCAGAUUUGGGAUAUACUCAAUUGUAAUUACAGAGACAGAGCUUCGAAUAUAUUUGAAACCGAAAUAUAAUACAACAAAUAAAGAUGGGUAUAUGUGUUGUAAACUAAAUUACGACAAAUUCUCUUUGG